rnacentral:lncRNA from 1 species
GUCUUCAGUCACUGGGGGCGCUGUUCGGAAGUGAAUGCCCGUGUGAACUCAUUGAUGACUGACUGAACUCGCCGAUGAGCGGCACCUCAGAAGAAGCACCAGCAUACACGUAAUGUCUUCACAACAGCGCUCCUGACAAGUUUGACUGCACAGAUGGCAACCGGUGAAUCAGACGCAUCACGUCAAGCCUGAACAACUGAGAUGACGCAUUUUUCGGAGCGAGUGAAGGCUGCGAUAAGUCAAGAACAAAUUUAAUCAACUACUCGGCGC